rnacentral:rRNA from 1 species
CAGGGGUGCAAACGUUGCUCGGAAUUAUUGGGCGUAAAGCGCGCGUAGGCGGCUACUUAAGUCGGAUGUGAAAGCCCUUGGCUCAACUGAGGAAGUGCACCCGAAACUGAGUAGCUGGAGUACGAAAGAGGGUCGCGGAAUUCCCGGUGUAGAGGUGAAAUUCGUAGAUAUCGGGAGGAACACCGGUGGCGGAGGCGGCGACCUGGGUCGAUACUGACGCUGAGGCGCGAAAGCGUGGGGAGCAAACAGGAUUAGAUACCCUGGUAGUCCACGCCGUAAACGAUGAGUGCUAGAUGUUUCUGGUAUUGACCCCGGAGGCGUCGUAGCUAACGCGUUAAGCACUCCGCCUGGGGAGUACGGCCGCAAGGCUA